rnacentral:misc_RNA from 1 species
UGCCGCCUUGGCGGUUAAUAUUGCAGAUAAAAACUGAUUCUGUAGUUGAUUGAUCUUUUGGGUUUAUCCAAUAUGCCAAUAACCCAGCCUAGUUUUUUUGGUUCAAACUAUAACUUCAUGGAAUGGAGAUUUGGAAUGAUUCAUUUUUAGAAUACCUUUUCAUCUUGUAGUUUAAUUGGACUCUCAAGAUUACGCUUGCACGAAUGGAGAAUACAGCAGCCACUAGGCCUUAAUCCCAAACUAGUUGCAUGAAUGGAGAAUGAUUGUGGAAAUAUAGCGUAUUUUCUUCCCCUCCUGCUUAAUUAUGACCUUAUUCCUUGAAAUUGCCAAUACCCAAAGAUGAUCACCGAAAGUUUUGUAGACAAACAGAUGCUUUCCCAUUAUCAUGCAAACACUGAGCUUAAAAGAUUAUUUUAUUUAAUUUUUUUUAUCUAGGGUUCUUGACAUAAAAAUCCAUUUCCGUUUUCCUAGUGUUAAAUCAUUAUCUAGCUCUCUUUUUCAUUAACUUACAUUCUUGUGCUCGUCUCUUCAUUGCUUUUUGUUUGAUUUUUUGAACUGCAAUUAUGG